rnacentral:rRNA from 1 species
CACGUAGGGGGCUAGCGUUGUCCGGAAUCAUUGGGCGUAAAGCGCGUGUAGGCGGUCCGGCAAGUCCGCUGUGAAAGUCGGGGGCUCAACCCUCGGAUGCCGGUGGAUACUGUCGGGCUUGAGUACGGAAGAGGCGAGUGGAAUUCCUGGUGUAGCGGUGAAAUGCGCAGAUAUCAGGAGGAACACCAAUUGCGAAGGCAGCUCGCUGGGACGUUACUGACGCUGAGACGCGAAAGCGUGGGGAGCAAACAGG